UCUGGUUCGAGUCCAGGAUGGCCCACCUAAAAAGAGUGUGGGGGUAUAGCUCAGUUGGUAGAGCGCUGCCUUUGCAAGGCAGAUGUCAGCGGUUCGAGUCCGCUUACCUCCACUAAAACCGGAAACAAACCAGCACUACAUCAAAAUAAAGAGUAAAUGCUGGGAGUGUAACCAGCCAGAACCUUGAAAACUG
rnacentral:tRNA from 1 species